AUGGGAGCUGAUUGGGGACCAGUGAUUGUUGCAGUUGCUUUGUUCAUUUUCUUGUCACCAGGGUUGCUCUUUCAAUUUCCAGCAAGGUUUAGGGUGGUGGAAUUUGGAUUUUUGGAAUAUUACUUCUUGGUGGGGUGUACAACUUUUUUAAUUGGCAAGUUGGUUCUAUGUGUUGUGUUUUGUAUCUUUAUAAGUAGAAGAUGA